UUCGAUGUCAUCAAAACAAUGAUUGAGGAUGUCCUGGAAGUAAGGAGAGAGCAGACGCGUAAUGGUGAAGAAAUACACGCUCGGUUUCUUCUGGGUGCAGCUCUGAGAAACCAGAAGGAGAAGAGCUGGAUGAGGAUGAAGAUGAGGAUGGAGAGAUGGGGUGUUUAUGCAUUCACAGCGGAGGAGAGAUGACACCGACAACUCUUCCAGCUCCUUAUCAAUGGAUGACUCUAUUGGUCCGGACCUCAAGAAGGACCUCAGCCCUGGACACCCGAUUAGAAUCAAUGAGAAGAGAAAUCCAUGAAAGAGCCUCUUCAACAGUGUCCACACCAUCAUCUCCAAGAGACAAACUCACCAGCUUCUGUAUUAUAAACAGAGGAAGACAGGAACACUUUACAAUCAGGUCCCAUUAUUUAGGUUGGCCAUAAAAAAGUACAUCCAAGAGGUUGUUAUCGCAGAAUAAAGCCUGACAGUUUUAUCGGCUUAUCAAUGUGAAGCUGAGGGCUAUUGUGUAAGACUGAGGGGCUUUAUUCUGCGAAAACAACCCUUCUGGAUGGACUUUAUUCUACUUAUUACAUGGCUACUUGCCACAAAACAUUGUUCUAAGCUGUAAUCGUUUAUUAAUUCUUUAAUUACAUGCAAAGCUGACAGAAAAGAAAACAGCUGAUGGAGUAUACACUAACCUGCACAUUAUUCAGACACACGAUAGCGCCAAACAGACAAAAACGCAAAUCUGA